UAUUUUUUUUAUAUAAGUAUACUAUCUAUUCCAGUUGGAUAUUUUUGUCUAACAUUCAUAUUAUUUGCAGAGUGUUGCAAGGUUUCUAGAAAGAGGCCACUCUUCAGUCAGAACGUCCCAAGCCAAGUUCCCGCAACAGCAGGAACAGAAUCAGAUUUAGAUGAUUUUGACCUUAAUCAGAGCUACAACAGCCCAGCAGGAGGGGAGAGGGCAGUUCGUCGCGUUUCAAGAGGCCGGCGUUCCUUAAGCCGCCGUAAGGGUGCGCAGUACUCUGACGUUGAAGAUUUGUGAUGGGUCAGGAUCAGUAGAGGAAAUUUGUGUGAAAUUUAGAGAACGGAAGAUGUCGAGAGGAUUAUACCGGUAUAUUUUUGCUACAUAGAGAUUUUGUAUGUAAAAAUAAAAGGGGGAAAGCUGUGGUGUAUGUGGGAUCAGCCAUAUAUGUGGUAGAGUGUCCUGCAUGUGAGGAGAAAACAAAUAUUCAGUGUUCAAAAUACUUAGGUUGUUAAGGUUGAAUGGGCAUAAAUUCAUAUUGUUUGUAAUACAAAGUAAUUUGCAGUUGAGGGAGAUGUGUAGCAUAUGGUGCUGUAUUUCUUUUAAUCAUUUAGUUUUUUAUGGAAAAUUUCAUCUUUUGAACAUACAGUAUAUGUAUUACAUAUUGCCUCUUCCAGUUAUGUAUAAUUUUAAUUGAAUUGUUCUACAAGUUAUUUGUUGUCUUGAAAUUGCUUGUUUAGCUCCCUAGGUUGCUUGGUUGCUGCUCAGUGAUUGUAGUGAAUGAUUCUUCUAAUAACUUAAUAUUCAAGGCUGUUUCAGCUUCAUUCUUCAUUUUUCCUCUGUUACAUUCCUUAAAUACUGUCUUUUCACAUCAGAAUUUUGUUGUAUAAGACAAAUUUCUUGUUUUUUUUCCCCCCAAGCAGUGCUAAAAGAAAUUGGUUACAUUAUACAUCUUAUACAGUGUACUCAAGAAAAGAAAUAAAUAAAUUUUUUUAUGCUGAUCACAGAUGAAAUAUUGCAUGAGCUUGUGUGAUAUAGAAGCAUAAAACACAAAUGUUCCUUUUGUAUACUAUAAUGAUUUCAUGGGCAAGGACAGUAGGGAAAGGAUAAUAUGAAAUUGUUCUCUAGAAUAAUACUUGCAAAGAAAGUUAAUUUUAGGAAGCCAAAAUGUAUUUGCUUCUAGAUCUGCCAGUGAAAAAGUCUUUCUAAAUUCCUUUACUUGUAUGGUUGAUAAUCUCUUCGUCCUUUGCCAGUGAGAUCCCUAGUACGAUUAUCUUCAACUCCCCAGUUUGUUAGUUUAUAAAUUUUUUGGCAAAAGGUUCACGGUAUAUAUUUUGAUAUACAGUUUCUUUGUUAUAUUUAGAAUGAUUAAGUUAGCUACAUUUAGAAUAAGUCAUCUGCAUCCUUUCUAUUCAUGUGAUGGUCAUAUGAUUUCAGCUAAAAUAUUUGUAUCAGUUUUUAUAGUUACAUAUGAGACACCAGGUGUAUCGCAGGUUGCAUAUCAUUAAUAAUAAGCCUUUUAGCUAAUGAAACAAAAACCUUCUUGCCUGCGUCUCUUGUAAAAAUGUUAGGUUUUUAUAAAAUUGAGUAUAUGAUUGCCACUGAAUGUUUUUGUUGUAUGGCAUCAAUGUACACAACUUUUUUGUGAUAAAGAUGAUACUUUAGAAAUAAAGAGGUAUUUAUUUUCAUUCAUUCUAUAUCUGGGUAGUAUUGAAUUACCAUAAAUGAAUAUGUAUUUAAUUUGCAAGCUUCAAAAGGUUCUUAAAGAAAAUGUAAUUUUAAAUUCACUAAGAUUAGAUAAUCUAAUUAAAAAUUGUUGUUUUUUAUUCUAAGGAAGUCAUUUGUAAGAAAAUACUGAAUUAGCUGAUGAAAUUUGGUAUUUCCCACUGUAUAAUGAGAAACUGAGGGUGUGUAAGCUGAAUAAACUUUGUAACUAAAUAAUAAAAUGUUAAUGAUAAA